CAAACUCUUCAGCCAACUAAAGUUUAUAGCUUUACAGUUUCAACUUGGAUGAGUGAGGGUAGAUGCGAAAGUUUACCCAGAACACGUCGAAUCAG
rnacentral:lncRNA from 1 species